AUUGAACGCUGGCGGCAUGCCUUACACAUGCAAGUCGAACGGCAGCACGGGGCAGCCUGGUGGCGAGUGGCGAACGGGGGAGUAAUGCAUCGGAACGUACCUUUCAGUGGGGGAUAACGUAGCGAAAGUUACGCUAAUACCGCAUAUUCUGUGAGCAGGAAAGCAGGGGAUCGCAAGACCUUGCGCUGAUUGAGCGGCCGAUGUCAGAUUAGCUAGUUGGUGAGGUAAAGGCUCACCAAGGCGACGAUCUGAAGCGGGUCUGAGAGAAUGAUCCGCCACACUGGAACUGAGACACGGUCCAGACUCCUACGGGAGGCAGCGGUGGGGAAUUUUGGACAAUGGGGGCAACCCUGAUCCAGCCAUGCCGCGUGAGUGAAGAAGGCCUUCGGGUUGUAAAGCUCUUUCGGCCGGGAAGAAAUCGCACGGGCUAAUACCCUGAGUGGAUGACGGUACCGGAAUAAGAAGCACCGGCUAACUACGUGCCAGCCGCCGCCGUAACAC
rnacentral:rRNA from 1 species